AGACAAACAGGGUUAAGAAAGCUGUUGAUUUUGAGGGUUAAGAAAGCUGUCCUAGGUUCAGUUGCAGCGUCUUCAAUUGUCUUGAAUCAUUCACUAAAAUAUCUUUGCCUUUUCCGCACAAUCAGAAUUGACUUAAUCGUUUUGAGGUUCUGUCCACAACCGUAAGAAGGGGGAAAAGAACAAAAAAUGUCUUGUUUUCACAAGGGAAUGUAGCUCAGUGGUAGAGCGCAUGCUUUGCAUGUAUGAGGUCCUUGGUUCAAUACCCAGCAUCUCCAUGAGCCUGUUAAGGUUUUGUCCACAGACAAUAAACAGAGUUAAGAAAGCUGUGGAUGGUCCUAGGUUCAGUUGCAGCGUCUCCAAAUGUCUUGAAUCAUUCACUAAAGUAUCUUUGCCUUUUCUGCACAAUCAGAAUUGACAUAAUCAGUUUUAUGUUCCGUCCACAACACUAGAAAGGAAGAAUAAAAAGAAAAAUAGUCUGUUUUCAACUGGGGAUGUUGCUCAGCGGUAGAGCGCAUGCUUCGCAUGUAUGAAUUCCUCGGUUCAAUCCCCAGCAUCUCCAAGAGCCUUUUGAGCCUUGUCCACAAACAAUAACCAGGAUUAAGAAAGCUGUGGAUGGUCCUAGGUUCAGUUACAGCAUCUCAAAUUGUAUUGAAUCAUUCACUAAAAUAUGUUUGCCUUUUCUGCACAAUCAGAAUUGACAUCAGCAUUUUGAGGUUCCGUCCACAACCGUAAGAAGGGGGAAAAUAAAGAAAAAUGUUUUGUUUUCAACUGGGGAUGUUGCUCAGUGGUAGAGCGCAUGCUUCGCAUGUAUGAAUGCCUCGGUUCAAUCCCCAGCAUCUCCAAGAGCCUUUCGAGGUUCUGUCCACAGACAAUAAACACGGUUAAGAGAGUGGUUUAUGGUCCUAGGUUCAGUUGCACCGUCACCCAUUGUCUUGAAUCAGUCACUAAAAUAUUUUUGUCUUUUCUGCACAAUCAGAAUUGACAUAAUCAUUUUGACCUUCCAUCCACCACAGUAAACAGGUGGAAUGAAAAGAAAAAGUUUCCAAUUUCAACUGGGGAUGUAGAUCAGUGGUAGAGCGUAUGCUUCGCAUGUAUGAGGUCCUUGGUUCAAUCUCCAGCAUCUCCAAGAGCCUUUUGAGCUUCUGUCCACAGACAAUAAACAGGGUUAAGAAAGCUGUGGAUGGUCCUAGGUUCAGUUGCAGCGUCACCAAUUGUCUUGAAUCAUUCACUCAAAUUUGUUUGCCUUUUCAGCACAAUCAGAAUUGACAUCAUCAUUUUGACGUUCCGCCCACAACAGUAAAAAUGUGGAGAAGAAAGAACCGGGGAUGUCGCUCAGUGGUCGAGCGCAUGCUUUGCAUGUAUGAGGACCUGGGUUCAAUCCCCAGCAUCUCCAAGCAUGUUUUGAGGUUCUAGCCAUUAACAAUAAAAAAUUGAAAGGAAAGAAACCACUGCUUGUGCUGCGCAUUUGGACAUUAUCUGUGUAAUGUCCUUGAUUCAGUCCCUAGCAACUCCUAACGUCUUAAAUUAUUCAUUAAUAAAUGAAUGCCUUUCCAGCACAAUCAGAAAUGGCAUCAUUUUCAUUUUGACGUUCCAGCCAUAACCAUAUGAAGGCGUAAUAGAAAGAAAAAUAUCUCUUUAUCAAAUGGGAAUAUAGCUCAGUGGCAGAAGGCAUGCUUCACAUGAAUGAGGUCCUGGGUUCAAUCCCAAACAUCUCAGAGACUAUUUUGGAGUUCUUAAACUAACAAUAAAAACAAUAAAAAAGAAAGAAAACACUGCUUGUGCAUUUGGACAUUAGCUGGGUAAGGUCCUAGAUUCAGUCCCCAGCAUCUUUGGAGGUGGAUUAUACGUGUUUUUUCUGUGCUCUUCAGUUCUUGUGAUUAUUCUUUAUUUAAAAAUAUUUUUUAUUAUUUAAUUUUGAUCAUAAUCGCCCUUUACUGCCACAAAGGGUAUGGCAAAGCCCAAAUAAAAAAAAUUAAAAAAGAGACAAACCUGUUGAAGAUGUCAGUUAGACAACACCCAGACCGUUACCAACUCUACAGAUCGUGUUAAUCUUGCUGACAUUUUAGAGGCUAUUAAAUUAAUGAAUGGCUCUGCUAAUCUUUGGAAUCUACGCUGUCUCAGACGUUGGCCACGCUGUCUGAAGUUCCUUUACGGAGCUCUAAAGAGCAAGUGCAGAUUAUGAGAGCCAAUUCUCCGAACUUGAGGCUCAUUGUCGUAACUGGUUCGAAGCAUGCAAAUCCCUCACAUAUAAAUUAGAUGAUCUUGAAGGCCGUUUGCAGCGACAAAACAUUAAGAUCAUCGAUCUGCCCAAAAAGGUGGAGGAAGGUCAUCUAACUCAAUUUUUGGCAGACUUGCUUGUGCAAAUUCUUGGCGCCAGUAACUUUUCAAAGCCUCUGAAGAUCGACCAAGCCCAUCGCACAUGUCUGGUUGGUCUACAAACUCGACCACGAACAAUGGUAUCCUAUCACGGAUAAAGAGAAGAUUCUGCAUCUUGGACGGCUGUCUUCACCUAUGAUAAACAACGAUGCGCUAAUUCUCAUCUUUCCCGAUUUCACAUCCGACGUCCUGAAGUAAGGAAACUAACAAAAAAGGCCAAAAAUCACCACGGUUUGCUUUUCCCAGCUCGCCUUCUCAUGACAUAUAAUUAACAGAAACAUGUUUUUGAAUAUGUUGAGAGGGCACAGACCUUCGAUGACCCUGUUACAGUGGUGAUCAAUUCUGUGCCAUCUCCAUAACUCUCCGUAUAUUGGUCAAAACUUUUACUUUUAACUGUUUGGUUCUUUAAGCCCGCAUGACAAAUGUGAGUAUAAUUUCUUACAAUUGUCAGUGCAACCAUUUCGCUCGCAUUUGCGACUAAAAAUAGAUGUGUGCGAACUGGAAAAUUUAUUUAGUCGCACAUGUGCGAUUUUUUAACUUAAUUCACUUGGCCACGGUAAAACAACAUGCUCUUCACACUAACUUACCGUACGUUCACACCGAAAGCGGCGAGAGCG